GGCCAGGGAUGUUGAGCAAAAAACUUGGAUGCAACGACGAAACCAUCAAGAAACUGCUGAAAAGAUCCAGUCUUUUCAGGAAGAGGCUUAUUCCUUGUCAGAAAAGCUUUUCGUGCAAAAUAAUCAUAAUUGAAGGUUGGAGAAGAAAUUGAUGCAACAGACGUGUAUGGAACUAAAUACAAACCCAGACCUCUAUCUAGAACACAAGCA